rnacentral:rRNA from 1 species
UACGAAGGGGGCUAGCGUUGCUCGGAAUCACUGGGCGUAAAGGGUGCGUAGGCGGGUCUUUAAGUCAGGGGUGAAAUCCUGGAGCUCAACUCCAGAACUGCCUUUGAUACUGGGAAUCUUGAGUUCGGGAGAGGUGAGUGGAACUGCGAGUGUAGAGGUGAAAUUCGUAGAUAUUCGCAAGAACACCAGUGGCGAAGGCGGCUCACUGGCCCGAUACUGACACUGAGGCACGAAAGCGUGGGGAGCAAACAGG